CUUAAUUAUGUCAUUUCCCCCCAGAAUUCUUAUGCUUUUUGGAUGCUAGCCCAUUAAAAAAAGGACAAAAUUUGGAAUCAUAUUGUUUACUCUAAUAACCUAGUCUAAAUCACGAUUCUAGAGAGAAGUGGUAAAGACUCAAAUUGUUAUUAUAUUAGAAACUUAGCCUUCUGAAGGCAAUAUUAGGGAAAAAGAACUCUAGGCCACAAUGAGAAUGAGAGUAGUUUAAACAGGAAAAGGAAGAAUCAGAGAGAUUAUUGAAAAUGCCAUCAACUAAGCAUAAUUCAAACAGAAAACAACAUAUAUAUAUAUAUAUAUUUUUUUUUUUCACCUAGGAUUAGUAAAUCAAGAAAAUUGUAUUACAAUUUUAUUGGAUGGUGAGUUCUAUAAUACACUAAGUAUAAAAAAAGAAGUAAAAG
rnacentral:lncRNA from 1 species